CUGCAGCCCGAGUAGUGACCGUUAUUAUUGGGCCUAAAACGUCCGUAGCCUGUUUGGUAAAUGCUUGGGUAAAUCGUGUAGCUUAACUAUACGAAUACCGGGUAGACUGCCAGACUUGAGACCGGGAGAGGUUGGAGGUACUCCUGGGGUAGAGGUGAAAUUCUGUAAUCCUGGGGGGACCACCAGUGGCGAAGGCGUCCAACCAGAACGGGUCUGACGGUGAGGGACGAAGCCCUGGGGCGCAAACCGGAUUAGAUACCCGUGUAGUCC
rnacentral:rRNA from 1 species